rnacentral:lncRNA from 1 species
AUCUCUUCAUCAUUUUAGGAAUUUGAUAUCAUUAAACACUGCAAUAAAUUAAAACUUCGUUCUCCUGGCAGAGAGGAUCUGGAACUAAGUGUGUUACCAUAACGACAACAUAACUGCAGUAGUGAUGCGUAUUUUUAUGAGUACCACACACGUUCGGAGUUUCAACAAUACAUGCAGAGAUAUAAGCUAAUUUACGGCAUAUCACGUGGUCAGUGCAAACCAUGUGACGUCAUCGAUAAAAACGUAAAAACUUCAGUAACUCCUGAACGAAAAUAGAUCUUGUUCAUUUUAAAGGGGCCUUCUAGGGAUAUAAUGAUGAUGCAUUUUAAUAUAUAUUUUUGGAUUUCACGAUCGUUGCUCAGUCAAAACAAAAAAGAUAUAUACUUUUAGAUCUAAUGUUGCUCUUCCAGAGAGGUUGUUAAUUAUUAUCGAUCAAGUAACAUUUUUGUCCAUCGAGUUAAUAACAUGUUCCUACAUAAUAGUGUUGUGAUUUUUAAUUGACAAUAUAAAACAUAUAGUCAGUGUGAACAUUGGAGAUCAAAUGAUAAAUAUGAACAAUUAUUACUUAGCGUAUAUGUAAUUCAAAAAUUGUAGUUUAUCAAACGUUUAUAGACAAUCAGAUUGAUUGAAGUCUUGCUGGUCAGUCGUAUUAAAUUUAAACUAUUAAACUAUGAAUUGGAUAGGAAGGGAAAACUAAAAUAUUGGAGCGAAAC